CCGCCCGAUGCACGGCUGGCCUGGCACCACACCACCGUGCCAGGCCCUGAGCGUACCACCUCGCUGCAGCAUCACUGGUCCAGGCGCUGGGCUCCUUACCGUCUGCGCGGCCCCCGCCCCCGGCAUUAGCCGGGUGGCUUCAUUUAACAUCAGCUCCUCCUUUGAGACCUCUGCGGGCCCCCGGUUCCAUCUUAACCCUAUUUCUAUUGUUGUUUUUAUUGUUGUUGUUGUUAUUGUUGUUGUUUUUAUUGUUAAAUUUAGUUAGUUAGGAUUAGGUGUUAGGAGUAGGUUAUUGUUCAUGUUUUUUAAUUAGGAGUAGGUUAUUGUUCACGUUUUAGUGUUAGGUGUAGGUUUUUGUUCCUGUUUUAGAGUUAGGCUUAGGUUAGUGUUCGUACUUAGAGUUAGGUGGGUUCCUACCAGCAGCUGGCAGCAAACAGCGCUCACUCGGUAAGCACACGUCUGCUUUCUCACCCAAUGACAUGAGUGCUGCUUCAUGAGUGCAGAGGUCUGUGACAUCUCCGAGGGAUGGGAUUUGCAUCUUGUGACUUUUCUGUUGCAGAUUGUCGAGGAGCAGAGCGUGAGUGGCUGUGAAAUGCAAUUGGGAAAUGCUUCAUGGAAACAGUCUGGAGCUGUGUCUGGAGCUUCCUGCGUGGCCAUUGUAAGAUCAGCUUUCUGCGCACUUUAUUUCUGUGUCUGGCGUUGUAGAGCACAGCAGCAGCAAGGCCGCGAACACGUCCCACAACCAGGACUCGGAGGGUUUUGAGUCUAAGACCUGGGAGACGGUGAAGAAACCCAAGGCAAGUGCUGCUCAGCUGAGCAAGAAGCCAAGAAGGAAAGCAAAAGAAACGAUAAGGGCUUGAGCAGGAAGGCACAAAGGACAGCAGAAUCGCCUGGAAUGCUUCCUCAGAGGUGCACCAAAGGACACACACUGCGUGGUCCGGUUUUCAGGCCUGGCCGUGCUUUCCCUUUCCUGGACUGCGGAGAGGAACUGAGCAAGUUUUAGUCAUUACCAGUAUCCCGCCUAUUUGAUUUCAUAUUGAAAUGUAUUUUGGAUGCAUUUAGCAUCUCUUUGUUGCAAAUAAAAGCGAAACAAACAUUUGAAUAGUGGUGCUG
rnacentral:lncRNA from 1 species